rnacentral:rRNA from 1 species
CCUACGGGAGGCAGCAGUAGGGAAUCUUCCACAAUGGGCGAAAGCCUGAUGGAGCAACGCCGCGUGGGUGAAGAAGGUCUUCGGAUCGUAAAACCCUGUUGUUAGAGAAGUAAGUGCGUGAGAGUAACUGUUCACGUUUCGACGGUAUCUAACCAGACAGCCACGGCUAACUACGUGCCAGCAGCCGCGGUAAUACGUAGGUGGCAAGCGUUAUCCGGAUUUAUUGGGCGUAAAGGGAACGCAGGCGGUCUUUUAAGUCUGAUGUGAAAGCCUUCGGCUUAACCGGGGUAGUGCAUUGGAAACUGGGGGACUUGAGUGCAGAAGAGGAGAGUGGAACUCCAUGUGUAGCGGUGAAAUGCGUAGAUAUAUGGAAGAACACCAGUGGCGAAAGCGGCUUUCUGGUCUGUAACUGACGCUGAGGUUCGAAAGCGUGGGUAGCAAACAGGAUUAGAUACCCGUGUAGUC